rnacentral:rRNA from 1 species
UACGUAGGAGGCAAGCGUUAUCCGGAGUUACUGGGCGUAAAGCGUGCGUAGGCGGGUUGGUAAGUGGGUGGUGAAAGCGCUCGGCUAAACCGGGCGAGUGCCAUCCAGACUGCCAGUCUAGAGGCGGAUAGAGGGGUGCGGAAUUCCGGGUGUAGCGGUGAAAUGUGUAGAGAUCCGGAGGAACACCAGUGGUGGCAAACGGCGCCCUGGGUCCGAACUGACGCUGGAUGCACGAAAGCCGUGGGGAGCGAACGGG